AACGCAGUUCCCUUUCUCCCUUUCCCUUUUAACCCUUUUCUUCAUCGACAAAAUAAUAGCAACAACAAUUUGCGUAUAACAGUUACAGAAUCGACGUACAACACCAAUGCACACUGAAACAACAUCUCAUCAACAACGUUCAGAUUCCAUACAAUUCUAGCUCAAACCUUAUCCCAAUUUUAAAAUUCAAAUUUUAACUCGUUUCCCUUUGAUUCCCCCCCUCUCCCCCACCCCCAAAAAAAAAACCAAAAUUCUCUAUAAAUAUCCACCUAUGUAGAGAGAAAAGAGGGAGGAUUCUUUGGGGGUAAAUGGAGAUUCGAGAAGACGAUUCCUCUAAUCCCACGUAACCAAAGAAUUCAAGAAGAAACAAUAUCCAAAAAAAAUUAAUUCAGACGAAAUUUGAAAUUCCGGCGAGUUAAAAUUGAAACUCUGGUGGAAACAACUUAAAUUUUGGUGGAAUUUCAAUCGCUUAAAGAUCGUUUUUCCAAGUUCUUGCCCCAAAAUAGACUCCCAUCUCUAGCAUUCCGUUGAGUUAACGCCAAUCUCCAUCGGUUGAGCCUCAUUAAAAUCAAAAAAGUGGAUUGAUAUGCGCAGGACAGUCAAGUUUACCAAGCUGCUAUAUGCGUAUAUACAGUGGGAAUAGCUGUAGCUGUACACUAACAUAUGCGUACAUGGAAAAUGAAAGCAAACACGCUUAUUUAUACAUUGAUGUACAACAUAUAUACAAUGGUGUAUCAAAACACGCAGGAAAUAAAGUUGUGAUAUACAGAUGAUAUAUCAUAUAUUAAAUGGACCUAAAGUCCAUAAAAAAUGCAGUCCAAGGUUGGACAAGAUCAAAAUUGGGUCAAAGCCCAAUCCAAACUCUUCUUUAAUUAUUUAUUUCGUUUGUAAUCUAUUUGUGAUAUCUACGAUUCUAACUUUAACUAAUUUAAAUUAAUCUAGAUAAAUUCCCUUAA